rnacentral:tRNA from 1 species
GGAAGUGGCCAUAGCUCUUUGGUAGAGCAUCUGCUUGACAUGCAGAAGGUCCCAGGUUCAAUCCCAGGCAUGUCCA